rnacentral:rRNA from 1 species
UACGGCUCAGUAACACGUAGCUAACCCUACCUUAGGUCGUGGAUACCCUCGGGAAACUGAGGCUAAUACACGAUAGGAGAUAUACCCUGGAAUGAUAUAUCUUUCAAAUUCGAGCCCAAGGAUGGGGCUGCGGCGGAUUAGGUUGUUGGCGGGGUAAUAGCCCACCAAGCCGAAAAUCUGUAAGGGCUCUUAGCGGAGAGGCCCUGAGAGGGAAUCUGAGACACUAUUCCCAGCCCUACGGGGUGCAGCAGUUAGGAAUAAUCUACAAUGCGCGCAAGCGUGAUAGUUUGAGCCAGAGUGUUUCUCACACGAGAAACUUUUAUGUAAUGUAAAUAGUUACACGAAUAAGGACUGGGUAAGACUAGUGCCAGCCGCCGCGGUAAUACUAGCGGUCCAAGUCGCAGCCAUUUUUAUUGGGUCUAAAACAUCCGUAGCUUGCUUUGUAAGUUCCUUGUGAAAUCCUAUGUCUCAAGUAUAGGGCGUGCAAGGAGUACUGCAGAGCUAGAGACUGGAAGACGUGAGAAGUACGUUUAAAGUAGCGGUAAAAUGUUUUAAUCUUAAACGGACUCACAAUAGCGAAGGCAUCUCACGAGGACAGUUCUGACAGUAAGGGAUGAAGGCUAGGGGCGCAAAACGGAUUAGAUACCCGUGUAGUCCUAGCAGUAAACACUGCACACUAAACAUUAGUACCUCCUCGAGAGGUAUUGGUGCUGAAGGGAAGCCGAAGAGUGUGCUACCUGGGAAGUAUAGUCGCAAGGCCGAAACUUAAAGGAAUUGGCGGGGGAGCAC